rnacentral:rRNA from 1 species
CGGGUCCUUCGGGAUGCCGGCGAGUGGCGAACGGGUGAGUAAUGCAUCGGAGCGUGCCCAGUCGUGGGGGAUAACGUAGCGAAAGUUACGCUAAUACCGCAUACGACCUGAGGGUGAAAGCAGGGGACCGCAAGGCCUUGUGCGAUUGGAGCGGCCGAUGUCAGAUUAGCUAGUUGGUGGGGUAAAGGCCUACCAAGGCGACGAUCUGUAGCGGGUCUGGGAGGAUGAUCCGCCACACUGGGACUGAGACACGGCCCAGACUCCUACGGGAGGCAGCAGUGGGGAAUUUUGGACAAUGGGCGCAAGCCUGAUCCAGCCAUGCCGCGUGCGGGAAGAAGGCCUUCGGGUUGUAAACCGCUUUCGGACGGAAAGAAAUCGCCAUCGCUAAUACCGGUGGUGGAUGACGGUACCGUAAGAAGAAGCACCGGCUAACUACGUGCCAGCAGCCGCGGUAAUACGUAGGGUGCGAGCGUUAAUCGGAAUUACUGGGCGUAAAGCGUGCGCAGGCGGUUUCUUAAGCCAGAUGUGAAAUCCCCGGGCUUAACCUGGGAACUGCAUUUGGAACUGGGAGACUAGAGUGCGUCAGAGGGGGGUGGAAUUCCACGUGUAGCAGUGAAAUGCGUAGAGAUGUGGAGGAACACCGAUGGCGAAGGCAGCCCCCUGGGAUGACACUGACGCCCAUGCACGAAAGCGUGGGGAGCAAACAGGAUUAGAUACCCUGGUAGUCCACGCCCUAAACGAUGUCAACUGGUUGUUGGGGGAGCAAUCUCUUAGUAACGAAGCUAACGCGUGAAGUUGACCGCCUGGGGAGUACGGCCGCAAGGUUGAAACUCAAAAGGAAUUGACGGGGGGCCCGCACAAGCGGUGGAUGAUGUGGAUUAAUUCGAUGCAACGCGAAGAACCUUACCUACCCUUUGACAUGCC